CAAGGGAGCUGCAGAAGCGGCUGAGAGGAAGGAAACUUCGACCUUUUGAACCUGGAGCGGAUAAUGCCGGCGCAGGGAGAUGCAUAGA
rnacentral:ncRNA from 1 species